GAUUGCGGAGGGGAGGGGGGAGACGCUAAGGGCGGGGAAGAGGCGGCGGCCACCCAGAGGGGGAGCCGAGGCCGGACCGGGAAAGGGUGAGGCGUCGAGGGCGCGGAGGGACGGGUCGCCCGUGUGGAAGGACCCGAGAGAUUGUGGGGGGCGAGGGGGGUGUGCUUGGAGAAAGGCCGGCUGUGGGGAACGAAGCCGCAGGUUCUAAAGGGUCAAGCGCAAAGGCCUGGCGCGGGGAGGCGAAAGCAGGACAGAGGUGAGGCCCAGGUGCGGAGCUGCCCGGGGCGCGGCGCCCGGAGAGGGCGAACCGCGGAGGGAGGGAUCGGCCAACGGCGGCCGGGAGGUGGCGGGCGCGCUGGCCAAGCCCCGGAAAAGCCGCUCCCGAGCCCAACACACCUUUAAGUGCAAACAGCCGGCGAAAGCCUGCCGGCCCUCCCCCUCUCGGGGCGCACGCCCCUCGGUCCCCGAGUCACUCGCUGCCCACCUUGCUGAGUGAAACUUCCGCGCGCGGUUGCGCGGGUCUCGGGGGCGGAGGGGGCUGGACGCUCGGCCACCAAAUGACGCGGUCGCCCCAUGCACGCUGUCGGGCACCGGUGACCCCCACGCCCUUUGCUCUCAACUGCUCCCUUAAUUGCUCCUCCUUGUUCGGUGCUGGCUGCUCGCUGGAGACUGCAGCCUCCUCCGGUCCAGGGGCCCACUUCCUUUGCUUUGCCCUGGGCCCUAAAUAAAAUGUAUCGAAUACCGUACCUGAUGUUUUCCUAAAUCAAGCCAAAGCUAAGCUUUUUGCACAGUUCGUGGCUCAGAUCUCCCGCCCUCCACCUCGUACCAUCGCCUUUGUACUUCUGUGUCGAUUUGGCCAAGUUCCCCGAGCGAUCUCCCUACCCUUGUCCAGCUAAACCUGCCCGGAGCUUGAGCGCCCACCUUCGCGCCCCUCCCAUCGCCCUGCCCUACUGGUCGGACGGCAGUGUGGUGGGUUCUGUCGCCGUUUUCCAGAGAAAAGCGCUGGAGAUGAAGUUUCCUUGGGUUUUUAUGUUUGAACUCGAUCUCUUAUUGAGAACACAACGCCGUCUGAAGUAUUACUCAUUCGGCUCCAAGUAUCCAGCCCUUGAUUGAUAGUGGGAGAACCGGUAACCGUACCCCAAUCACUACAGUAACCCGCGCCAGGUACAAAUCUGAGCCCCUUUCAGGAUGCUCCGGGGACGCUGGAGAUAGGGCUUUGCCGCCCGGGAGGAAGCGCGGACCGAGAGGGCAGGUGGUGGGAGGGUUUCAGGAGCCCGAGGCCGCGUGAAGAGUCGCCGCGCAGAAUUGAUUCCGAGGACUUGGAGCGGAGCUAGACAUCCACGAAGUACUCCACAAAUAUUUGUUGAAAGAUUUUAGCGAGUAACAACACCCAACCGUUUUUGCAGCUGUUUGUCUCCUGAGCUACGGCACAGUUCACUACUGCAGCGGUGAGAUUAUGAAGAGGCGAGUUUAUAGGACUCAGCUUCUCAUCCAUAUAAUUGGGCAUGAUGAUAAUGUGUAUGUCAUAGAUCUUCAGGGGAGAGGAAAUACGUAAAGAAGUGUCUUCUUCAAAGAAAAAAAAAACUUGAGAACCAAGAAGUUUACUACAAAAUUGGAACCUUCUCUUGGGGAGGGGUCUUUCCUGGUGGCUCAGACUGCAAAGAAUCUGCCUGCAAUGCAGAAGACCCAGGUUCAGUCCCUGCAUUGGGAAGAUCCCCUGGAGAAGGGAAUGGCUACCCACUCUGGUGUUCUUGUCUGAAGAAUUCCAAGGACAGAGGAGCCUGGCAGGCUACAGUUCAUGGGGCUGCAAAAGAGUCGGAUACAACUGAGUGACUGUUACUUUUACUUUUCUCUCUAGACAACAACCACAAAGGCUCUCACCUUAGAUUAGAUUAAAGACACCAUCAAGGCAGGGUGAAACAUUAAAUAAGAUCUUACUAUCUGUGGAAGGAAAAUGUACAGAAAAACUUCACCUGGGGAAAUGUGUCAUGUAUCUGGGCAAGAUAUGACUUCUCCUUGGGGACCAAGGGAAUGGCAACCCACUCCAGUAUUCUUGCCUGGAGAAUUCCAUGGACAGAGGAGCCUGGAAGGCUACAGUCCAUGGGGUCGAAAAAAGUUGGACACGACUGAGCGACUAUCACUCGUUGGGGACCACAGAACUUAUCCAUUUAAACUGGGCAUCCAGGGAGAAGAUGCCAGUUAGGGAAUUCCUCCCUCCAGGCUUCAACAUCCUUUGCUCAGGAGUAUAGUCAGACCUCCAUAUCUGUGAUUCUGCAUCCGAAGGCAGAUUCAAUCAACUGAGGACUGAAAAUGUUAGGGAAAAAAAUUCAAAAAGUACAACAAUUUACAUAUCAUUUACAUUAUAUUAAGUAUUAUAAGUAGUCUAAAGAUGGUUUUGAACUGUGGUGCUGGAGAAGACUCUUUCGAGAGGACAUCAAGGAGAUCAAACCAGUCAAUUCUAAAGGAAAUCAACCCUGAAUAUUCAUUAGAAGGACUGAUGCUGAAGCUGAAGCUUUGGCCACCUGGUGUGAAGAGCCAGCUUGCUGGGAAAGACUGAGGGCAGGAGGAGAAAGGGGCAUCAGAGGAUAAGAUGGUUAGAAAGCAUCGCUCGCUGACUCAGUGGACAUGAAUUGGAGCAAACUCCAGGAGAUAGUGAAGGACAGGGGAGCCUAGCAUGCUGGAGUCCCUGAGGUCAAAAAGAGUUGGACACAACUUAGUGACUGAACAAGGAACAGAGACUGAUUUCUGCCCUACCUAACACAUUCUAUAAUUUCUGACUUAGUGACUAAAACAACAAAGAUGGUUUAAAUGGGAGGAUGUGCUGUAGAUUAUAUACAAAUACUAUCAUCAUUUUAUGUAAGGGACUUGAGCACCUUCAGAUUUUGGUAUGUGGAUGUGGGGAUGGAACCAGUUACCCACAGACCCCAAGGGAUGACUGUACAUCCCUGCAUCUCCCAGAAGUCAGUCAGAGAGGAAAGAACAGCAGCAGAACUUAUGUUUUAAGCCAUAGUCGGUUGAUGGGAGUGAGUGUUUAAAGAUUUUUAGGAAGGAAAAAAAGUUUUGUUACUCUUAUUUCCUAAGUUCCUCUGGUUUCCCUGUACUUCGCCUACUCAUCUAUUUGGUUGAUAAAUAGCCAGUCUUGUUACUCUAAUAAAAUGUAACCCAAAGACUCCAAAA